rfam:Lyngbya majuscula 3L genomic scaffold scf52114, whole genome shotgun sequence.
AGGAGCCGUGUGAGAUGAAAGUCUCACGCACGGCUUUGAAGGAGAGGUGCUCCGGAUAAUACCGGACAUCGACUCUAAU